rnacentral:rRNA from 1 species
UACGUAGGUGGCAAGCGUUGUCCGGAUUUAUUGGGUUUAAAGGGUCUGUAGGUGGCUUGCUAAGUCAGACGUGAAAUCCCUCAGCUUAACUGGGGAACUGCGUCUGAGACUGGCGAGCUUGAGUGCAGGAGAGGAACGCGGAAUUCCAGGUGUAGCGGUGAAAUGCGUAGAUAUCUGGAGGAACACCGGUGGCGAAGGCGGCGUUCUGGACUGCAACUGACACUGAGAGACGAAAGCCAGGGGAGCAAACGGG